ACUUAAAUAGCUUAUACAAGAGCAUGAUAUUGAAGAUAUCAAGGAAACAAAAAUGUUUUUAAGUA
rnacentral:tRNA from 1 species